ensembl:lncRNA
GUGUGUGGUGUUAGUGGUGUGUGUGGUGUGUGUGGUGUUAGUGGUGUGUGUGUGGUGUUAGUGGUGUGUGUGUGUGUGUGUGAGUGUGUGUGAGUGUGUGUGUUUUAUAGUGUUAGCGGUGUUAGUGGUGUGUGUGGUUUGUGUGGUGUUAGUGGUGUGUGUGUGUGUGUGUGUGAGUGUGUGUGUGUGUGUUUUAUAGUGUUAGUGGUGUUAGUGGUGUGUGUGGUGUGUGUGGUGUUAGUGGUGUGUGUGUGGUGUUAGUGUGGUGUGUGUGUGUGUGUGAGUGUGUGUGAGUGUGUGUGUUUUAUAGUGUUAGCGGUGUUAGUGGUGUGUGUGGUUUGUGUGGUGUUAGUGGUGUGUGUGUGUGUGUGUGUGAGUGUGUGUGUGUGUGUUUUAUAGUGUUAGUGGUGUUAGUGGUGUGUGUGGUGUGUGUGGUGUUAGUGGUGUGUGUGUGGUGUUAGUGGUGUGUGUGUGUGUGUGUGUGAGUGUGUGUGUGUGUGUGUUUUAUAGUGUUAGUGGUGUGUGUGGUUUGUGUGGUGUUAGUGGUGUGUGUGUGUGUGAGAGUGUGUGUGUGUUUUAUAGUGUUAAUGGUGUUAGUGGUGUGUGUGGUUUGUGUGGUGUUAGUGGUGUGUGUGUGUGUGUGAGUGUGUGUGUGUGUGUUUUAUAGUGUUAGUGGUGUUAGUGGUGUGUGUGGUUUGUGUGGUGUUAGUGGUGUGUGUGGUGUGUGUGGUGUUAGUGGUGUUAGUGGUGUGUGUGUGGUGUUAGUGGUGUGUGUGUGUGUGUGUGUGAGUGUGUGUGUGUGUUUUAUAGUGUUAGUGGUGUUAGUGGUGUGUGUGGUUUGUGUGGUGUUAGUGGUGUGUGUGUGUGUGUGAGUGUGUGUGUGUGUGAGUGUGUGUGUGUUUUAUAGUGUUAAUGGUGUUAGUGGUGUGUGUGGUUUGUGUGGUGUUAGUGGUGUGUGUGUGUGUGUGAGUGUGUGUGAGUGUGUGUGUUUUAUAGUGUUAGUGGUGUUAGUGGUGUGUGUGGUUUGUGUGGUGUUAUAGUCGGUCAGUGUUAGUGUAGUCUCUCUCCUCUCUCUGUCUGGUGGUAGAAACAAUAGAGACGGCGUUGCCCCCUACGGGAGAGGAGUUUAAAACAGCAGUCACAUAAUCAUCUCUACUGCCCCCUAGAGGAGCGGAGUUUAAAACAGCAGCUAGUGAGACAGUGUGUGUGUGUGUGUGUUUGUUUGUGUGAGUGUGUGUGUGUGUGUGUCUGUGUGUGUGUUUGUGUGUGUGUGUGUGUGUGUAUGUGUGUGUGUGUGUGUGUAGGGACACAGGAUGCUCCUCUCAGCAGUCACCACAGACUUCCUUCCCUUU